UACCUAGCGACCGAUAGUGAACCAGUACCGUGAGGGAAAGGUGAAAAGUACCCCGGGAGGGGAGUGAAAUAGUACCUGAAACCGUGUGCUUACAAAUAGUCGGAGCCCGUUAAAAGGGUGACGGCGUGCCUUUUGUAGAAUGAACCGGCGAGUUACGGUAGCGUGCGAGGUUAAGUUGAAGAGACGGAGCCGCAGCGAAAGCGAGUCUGAAUAGGGCGAUAGUACGCUGCCGUAGACCCGAAACCGUGUGAUCUAGCCAUGUCCAGGGUGAAGGUAGGGUAACACCUACUGGAGGCCCGAACCCACGCACGUUGAAAAGUGCGGGGAUGAGGUGUGGCUAGCGGUGAAAUUCCAAUCGAACUCGGAGAUAGCUGGUUCUCCCCGAAAUAGCUUUAGGGCUAGCCUCGGAAUUUAGAGUCUUGGAGGUAGAGCACUGAUUGGACUAGGGGCCCUCAUCGGGUUACCGAAUUCAGUCAAACUCCGAAUGCCAAUGACUUAUGUCCGGGAGUCAGACGGUGAGUGCUAAGAUCCAUCGUCAAAAGGGAAACAGCCCAGACCAUCAGCUAAGGUCCCCAAGUAUACGUUAAGUGGGAAACGAUGUGGAGUUGCCCAGACAACCAGGAUGUUGGCUUAGAAGCAGCCACCAUUUAAAGAGUGCGUAAUAGCUCACUGGUCGAGUGACUCUGCGCGGAAAAUGUAACGGGGCUAAACGUAUCACCGAAGCUAUGGCAGUCCUUACGGACUGGGUAGGGGAGCGUUCCAAGCAGCAGUGAAGCCGUACUGGAAAGAGCGGUGGAGCGCUUGGAAGUGAGAAUGCCGGUGUAAGUAGCGAAAAGCAAGUGAGAAUCUGUCCACCGAAAGCCUAAGGUUUCCUGGGGAAGGCUCGUCUCCCAGGGUUAGUCGGGACCUAAGCUGAGGCCGAAAGGCGUAGGCGAUGGACAACAGGUUGAUAUUCCUGUACCACCUCUGUUCCGCUUGAGCAAUGGCGUGACGCAGGAGGAUAGGGUGAGCGGCCUACUGGAUGGCCGUCCAAGCAGUGAGUGUGGUGUGUAGGCAAAUCCGCACACCGUGAAGCAUGAGCUGUGAUGGCGAGGGAAAUGUAAGUACCGAAGUCCCUGAUUUCACACUGCCAAGAAAAGCGUCUAGCGAGGAACAAGGUGCCCGUACCGCAAACCGACACAGGUAGGCGAGGAGAGAAUCCUAAGGUGCGCGGGAUAACUCUUGCUAAGGAACUCGGCAAAAUGGCCCCGUAACUUCGGGAGAAGGGGCGCCUCGGUAGGGUUAAUAGCCCGAGGGGGCCGCAGUGAAAAGGCCCAAGCGACUGUUUAGCAAAAACACAGGUCUCUGCGAAGCCGCAAGGCGAAGUAUAGGGGCUGACGCCUGCCCGGUGCUGGAAGGUUAAGGGGAUGAGUUAGCGCAAGCGAAGCUUUGAACCGAAGCCCCAGUAAACGGCGGCCGUAACUAUAACGGUCCUAAGGUAGCGAAAUUCCUUGUCGGGUAAGUUCCGACCCGCACGAAAGGCGUAACGACUUGGGCGCUGUCUCGGCAAGAGACCCGGUGAAAUCAU
rnacentral:rRNA from 1 species